GGGCCAAUGAGCGUAAUUAAUAUUCAUUAAUUAUUCAAAGGGAAUACACCCAACGUUUUAAAAACGAGUAUAUGCAAACAUUUUGUAAAUGAUUAUUUUUUCGCGGAUGGAUCCAGAGUUUCUUUUGUGGUGCAUCAUUCCCAACAUGUGCACUGCGGCAAGUUGAAGAGCGACAUGAACGUUCUGAAGGUUGAAAAUAGAGCCCCCCCUUUCCCCUUUCCUCUCCAGCUGACUGACAUGUCUAAAGAGAUCCUGAAGGACGUUGAGACCUGAUGUGAGAGAUUAACUUCCCAUUCUACCCUGCUUGAAGACGUUGGAAAGGGGGACUCUGCGCCACUCUUUCUUCCCAGAGCCCCUCUAUGGGAACAUGGCCGACACCAUUGGCCAUGUCUGGUCCUCUCUAGACCUCUCUGUGUUCUCAGAGCAUGCAUAGCCGCAUCCAGUUUGUGUGUUCGUCCCCCCCUUUAUUCAUUCCAUACCCCUCCCUCCAUCCCUCUCUUUCCCCUCGUCUCUGUUGUGCCGGUUAGCCAUCGCCUAACGCAGCUAGGGCCGGGGAAUGAUGUCAUGGGUAAUGGGCAGUGUCUGCAGCAAUUCUAUCUGACAUGUUUUAUCUUUGUUCAGGCCCAUCAGGGUGGACACACACACACACACACACCUCCACAUCUCCUCAACCCCAAGGUUCACUGCUGGGCAGAUUCACCAAAACAAGCUCUGCUUUCAUUCUUUCGCCCAUCUCAAUGGCUCAGUUUCCCACAGAGAAUAGACACAGCAGGCCAGGCUAUUUUAGGAAAUGUGAUUAAAAAGAGGGUCACCCACUCACACACUAGCUAUCUGUGCUGGGACCCUGAUAGAGGCCCAAAUGGCACCCUGUUCCCUAUAUAGUGCACUACUUCUGACCAGGACCCCAUAGAGCUCUGGUGAAAAGCAGUGCACUAUAUAGGGAAUAGGGUGACAUUUGGGAAGCAUACACAAUCUUGUACCCAUUAGACCAGGGUUGUAUUUAUCAGGGCACACUGUAGCAAAACAUGUUGCAACGGAAAACAAACAUUUCUUAAUGGACAUGUUCAGAUCAUCCCUCCCUGUUUCAGUCCAUUCUUACAUUUGGUGCCUAAGGAGUACGACCCAGUGGUGAUGUUUGGCGUGUUGUUGUAUUUUUUAAUUACUAGGCCAGAUUGUUCUGCUAUCUCAUGAGUGAACAGAAAUAUAACCCAUUCACAUUAAUUUACUAAAUCUGGACUGUCCUCAAUAAAGGACCCAUAGUCCUG